rnacentral:rRNA from 1 species
ACCAAAAGCCUAGCCCAACUAAAUAUGAAUUUUACUAACCAAUUUUUUUUCUUCUAAUAAACCAUUUUAAUGUUCUAGUAAAGGAGAUUGAAAAAUAUUUUGGAGCUAUAAAGUUAGUACCGCAAGGGAAUGGUGAAAUACACAAUGAAAUAUUUUUAAGUAACAAAAAGUAAAGAUAACUCCUUGUACCUUUUGCAUCAUGGUUUAACUAGUCUAAUCAAGCAAAACGUAUUUAAGUUUGACUUCCCGAAACUAAGUGAGCUACUUCGGAGCAGCUAAAAGAGCGAACCCGUCUCUGUAGCAAAAGAGUGGGAUGACCCCCAAGUAGCGGUGAUAGACCUAACGAACUUAGUGAUAGCUGGUUACUCAAAAAACGGAUAUAAGUCCAACCUGAAACAUUACAUCAGUCAACCAAAACACAGCUAAGUUUUCAGAGUAAUUCAAAUAAGGUACAGCCUAUUUGAAACAGGGUACAACCUAGAUUUAUGGAUAAAACAAGUCCUAAAAUAUAAUAAAGUGGGCCUAAAAGCAGCCAUCUUUAAAAUAGCGUCAAAGCUUAAUUAUAUAUUUACCUAAUUUCACUAAUUUCUUUAAAUCCUACACCAAUAUUGAGUAAUUCUAUAUAAAUAUAGAAAAUUUUAUGUUAAAACUAGUAACAAGAAGAAGACCUUCUCUUUAAUGUAAGUGUAAAUCAUAAAGGACAAACCAUUGAUAAUUAACAUGAAUGAACCUAAAGUAGAAACCUACCUAGAAAACUCUACUUUUAUUAAUGUUAACCUAACACAAGAACAUUUUAAGAAAGAUUAAAAGAAAAAGAAGGAACUCGGCAAAUAUUAACCUCGCCUGUUUACCAAAAACAUCGCCUCUUGAAUAGUAUAAGAGGUCCAGCCUGCCCAGUGACCAAGUUCAACGGCCGCGGUAUCCUAACCGUGCGAAGGUAGCGUAAUCACUUGUUCUUUAAAUGUGGACUAGUAUGAAUGGCAUCACGAAGGUUAUACUGUCUCCUUUUUUUAAUCAGUGAAACUAAUCUCCCCGUGAAGAAGCGGGAAUUAAUAUAUAAGACGAGAAGACCCUAUGGAGCUUUAAACAACACAGCACUUGCUUAAAAAUUAACAAUUUCAGAACUUUAAAUUCUCUGAGCAAUUUGACUGCAAGUUUUUGGUUGGGGUGACCGCGGAGUAAAAUAUAACCUCCAUGUUGAAAGAAUAUCAUUCUAAGCUAAGAGCUACUAUUCAAAGCAUCAACAUACUGACAUCCAUUGACCCAAUUUAUUUGACCAACGAACCAAGUUACCCUAGGGAUAACAGCGCAAUCCACUUCAAGAGCUCCUAUCGACAAGUGGGUUUACGACCUCGAUGUUGGAUCAGGGUAUCCCAGUGGUGC